GCCGAACAAAGGCGGCGGUGGCGGCGGGGCCGCUCCGUGCGGCGCGAACACGGCGAGGGGUGAGCCCACACAGAUCCGGGCUCGGCGGCGUUGGGAGGGCCCCGCGCCCCGGCCCCCGCGCUCGGCCCGGCCCCACUCGGCGGCGUGUCGGGAGGAAGCGCCGGCCGCGCGGCCGCCGGCCCCUCGGCUCGACCGCCCCCCGUCUCCUCCCCUUCGCAGCCGAUCCUCCGCCCCCUCCUCCUCCCGCUGGCGGCGGCGGCGGCUUUCUCGGCCCCGGCUCCCCGCUCUUCCUUACGGCUUCGCCUCGCUCCUCAGCGGGAGGCUCCGAGCCGCGCCGGCGAAGACGGUAAGGGCGGCAGGGCGCGGCGCAGGGCCGGGCCGCGGCUCUGGGUUCGACGGGCGCGGUGGGGCCCUGGGCUGAGCGCCGCGCCGCCGCCCCUCAGCCGCUCCCCCUCUUGCUGCGGACCCCCCGCGGCGGAGGGCGGGCGGGGAGCGAGCGGGGGGCUCAUCCCACCGGGCGCUGCGAUGCGGUGGGAGCCGCCCUGCCCUGCCCGGUGGGGUAGGGGGCGGGCGGACCCGGCGGGUGGGUGCCGCGGGGAAGCGGAGCCGGUUCCGUGCCCGCUCCCUCGGGAUCCGGCGGCAGAGCGGGUCUGCGGCGGAGCGGGCGAAGCGGUUUGAAAUUCCUCGCUAAUAUCAGGGGAUAACAUAUGGCCCAGGAGAAAGCAGCUGGGAGGACUGGCCGGUUAGCUGCUCCCGAGUUAUUUUCCCAGGCAGUGCUGCAAGGAGUUCUGGGAGUUCCGGGGAGAAGAGACCAGCCUCCCUCUGGAGACCUUUACUACAGGUGAAGACCUUCAAACAAGUCAAGCAGACAUAGCAGGAGCUCAGAAGUUUUACAUCAAGGUAAAGAGAUCAUUUUUCUACCAAACUGAAGUGGCUGAUACGAUUUUCAAGAUAAGAAUUUCCAUCCUCUUCCCCCCGCCCAAUGAUUCUCUGAGCGUUUUCAUUCAUAUGUGGAUUGCAAAAACAACAACAUACUGGAUUGUAGGUCAGAGCCAGAAGUAAUUCCUUAUAAUAUUGGUAGGAAGAUGUGUCUGUGGUUCUAUGUUGACAAGGAAGCUCACUUUGAGAGCUCAACAGUGUGCUGUAUUUUUAGAAAUAAGUUCCCUUUUAAUUUCUGCAUUUGGAACUUAGAGUGGCCCCAAGUUAUGGAAGCACUUUUGGAUGUCUGCAGCAACAGGAGGAGAGUGAGGUUUGUGUAUGCUGAAUUUCUGUUUACCAGCGCUAAAGUUAUCUUCAUUUGAUCGUCCAGAAAUCGUUCAUGCAUAUAAGGGGCAAACACUGGUGGAGGAAGACAAAAUAUGACCCCGAGAACUUCGUUAAACUUGUCAAUACUACUUUGGGAUUUUGAUUAUACUAUGAUUUUAUUAGAAGGACAGGAUUUUGAAUGUGGUGGUGAUGUAUGCCCUCUGUUCCUUAUACCAACAAGAUUAAUUGAACUUUGUGUAGAUGGUUGGUUUUGGGGAAAAAAGUAGUAAUGGAAACAGUAUUUUCUACAGUUUAAGAUUAAACUUAGGUCCUUCUAAAGUUCUUCCAACUUCUGUGAUUUUAAAAUAGCUUUUGCAAGGUGUUAACUUUCAAGAUUGAAGGUUCUGUAAAUAAAUAUUCCUUAAUUUGUCCAAGAAGAAUAGCAGAUUUUUCUUGUUAGUCCUUCAUUGAUCUUUCUCUGAAAGCAGGGCACUGAACUAGACCAAAGUUCAUUGUCCUAACAUUAGUGGAGUAAAAUCAAAAUCAGUUAGAGUUUUCCCAUCUGUACAGUCAGCAUUUCACCCCAUAACCUUCCCUCCUGAGAUCUGCUAUAUGUGCUUGGCAGUAAGACCACCAAGCAAGGGAGGCCCACAGAGCCCCCUCCGUAUGCCAUUCCCUUUCUCUCUGCUUCUCACAUCAUUAAAUUCAGUUUCACUGAGUUUCUUCUGUCUGCCAGCAAGGUCAUCUUGAACAACUGAGGAUACUGUAUUGAAACCUUGGCAGAGCACAAAAACUGACAACUGUACAGUGAUUUCAAAUGGGAGAGUGAAAAUCAUGAAAUACUUAUCUCUUUAAUGUUUCCCUUUAUUAGGACUGCAUGAAACAAUACAAGCUGUGAUAACCAUGAAAAAAAUGCAGUAUUUCUUUUGAACGUUAUAUAAGAAGUGCUGUUGUACGCAGUGAGAGCAUAAGGACUUCCUAGGAGGUAUUUGCAUAAUCUUUAGUGUGCACUGAUGCCCUUAAAUGGGGUGGUGGUGGUGAUUCACGUACAGAAAUGCAAGGUGCCCUAAGCUUUUGGUGUUACACUAUGCAUGGAUUGAAAUGCAGCCUUGAACGCUGUUACCACUUCUAGGAAAUCAGUUUGUUCUGCAUCUUUCUGCCUCUUUUUUCCCUUUGUUGGAGGGCUGUGUUGCUAACCAGAAACAUAUGAUAGGAGGCAGCCAAAUGUUCUGGUGAAAAUCAAGGGCACUUUCUAGCUGUGAAGGUUUUCUAUUUGCCCUAGAUUUUUUUCAUUGAUGCAGCUGUAACAAUUGGUGUCAAUGAUAUGAAUAAUUGAUUAAGGAGUUCUUGUUGCCUCAAGUAAUAUUCUACUUAUGCUUCUCAGAGCUGUUGCUGUUUGUUGCACUACAGCACUGCUGGUUUUUCCUUGUUUUUUUUUUUGUUCCCACCUCUUUGUUCUCCAGCAAUCCUGUAGGAGCAUGUUGUUUUUCCUUCAGUGUAUUCCAUGGCUUAGUGAGAAGCGGGUUCUCCUUUUUAAUCAACGACGACAUAUUUCAAAAUAAUCCGUGGUCCUGGGAACUGUGCAGUAUACACAUCUGGUUUUCCAUAAGCAUGAAUUGCUGGCUUUACAAACGCGAAACAUGUAGUCCUGGCCACAGAGUUAGCUCAAGUGUUCCGUAACUUGAGCCUGUAUUCGAAAUAAAAACAAAAUUGUAUAGCUUCUUUACCAUACUAAUGGAAAACAUUUAAUUUGCUUCUUGAAGCCAACCAGAGGGAUGACGCAAUGCUGUUCGAGCAGAUUUAUGGGGCCUUUUCUUCUCCAGAAAUCAAUACAGCUUGGAGGUGCUGUACUGGGAGCUGGCAAGCUGACUGUGAUCCAGCUGCGUUCAACUAUAAACUUCUGCACCACAAACCCAAGCUGAUGACUUUGAUUUAUCCAGGCAUUGCUGUAUCUGAGAUAUUAUGGUGUUGGGUUUUAUUCAUAGCUUUUUCUCUACUGCCAUUAAUACUAGAUUGGAGUUUCAAAAUAGCAAUCUGCUUAUGAUUUUUUUUCAAAUUGUUUAGGGUUUUUUCUUUGCAUUUCCUGAGUUAAAGUACAGCUCUGUGUACAUGCUAGGCAUGACUUUUAGUGAGAUCUUUUUCCUCAAGAACACAGAACAGCCCUCCAUUCAAACUGAGUGCUAAGGACUAACAUAAUUUUCUACUUUGUACAGAAAAAGCUUUGAUCAUUGAAUGCUCUUUCUUUUUUUUUUUUUGUUUGUAUUUACUUACUUCAUCUAGAAGAGACAAAAUGAGUGUUGCUUUUUGCUCGGUCUAAAAAUGUUCUUACGAUAGAAUUAUUUUUUUCCUAAAGAAGUUAAACAGUGUGAAGUUUCAUAGUAACUAACUUUUAUGCCUUUAUUUCCUUUUCCUGUUCCUCUCUGCCCCUAGUAAGUCUGCUUUGGCUAUUGAAACCCUUUACUAUAGAAAGAAACAUCAACAGCCUCUUAUUUUCCUCCAUAAUGGAGUUUCAGUCUUCCUUAAGCAUUUUAUUUCUGGCAGGAGUUCUCUUCUAAAAUAGCACUUACAACAGGGCUUCUGAUACUGCUUUCUCCAGGUCGUGUCUGUAUUACCUAUGGAGUCCCUUGGUGGUGCUCCGUGUGGUCGUGUUGAUUGCCAGAAGGAAAAUCAGAACUAGAUACUUGCUUUCUAUCCUUUUCCCCCUUAUUUCUAAUCACGUUUCUGUAGUAACUUUGAUCCAGGUUUCUUUCAUCUCUAACCAUUUUUGUCUCCCAUAUACCUAACAAUUUCAUCAUGAGUAAAUGGCAUGAGAAGAUGCUGCAGAGGACUCAAACGUGGUUGUUAUGUAGACCUUCCCUAGAGCAGCUAUAGAUGACAGGUAGGCUCAAGGUCCUUCUUGCUCGGUGCAUGCUAGGAGAGAGGAAGAUGGAGAUGUGAGUUGUACGAGAGUCUUAGGUUGGAGCUGUUUGAAUUUUUCUUUUUUAUUGAGAUGAAGAAGAUGAUGAUGAAUGCAAUUAAGAUGAGCAGUAACGUUGCUGAUUGUUUUUUUUCUUUGAAAAGGCUACCAUUUGAGAUGUGAUAUAGAAGUACAUGAAUACAAAUAAUUUCUAAUGAUUUUACUUAUCAAGAUGAAUGUAUCAGAUCUGCAGUCCUGAAUUUGAGUACAAUUUGAAGUUAUAUUUUUUAAAAAUCUACCUUUUUGGGGGGGAAAAAAAGUAAUUCUGGUAUAAAUACUGAAUAUUUAAGAUGAGUUAAAUGUAUCUUUUGCUAUGACAGUGCUUUUUUGGUAGUAGUGUGGAUGAGCAUGCUGAGACAGCGUGGCUAUUAUGUUUUGGAUAAACAUAAGGACAGUUUACAUCUAGUAUCUGCUUGUGUAGACAUAAUAAAGAGAUUUUUGGAUAUUAAGUAUUACCAAAAAAUUUUGGAAGUUGUUUUCUGAAAAGCUUCCAUUAGAUAAAUAACAUGUUUCAGUAUGAGCUUCAUUUGAUCUCAGUGGCAAAGUUGGGUCUUUGGUGUUUGUACAGUCAUAAAGUUCUCCUUGACAUCUUUCUGCGUAUUUUGUCUCAUGAUAAAGAAUACCAAAUCAUCAGACGGGCUGCCUACCUCUACUCUCUGAAAGGCAGAGCUAUAAGGAGCAAUACAUGAACCUUUAGAAGGAUGAGCCAUCCUGCCUUUCUGUUUGGGGGGGUUAGAUUUUCCCAAUAUUCAACACCAUUUCUACUCAGAUGGUUUCCAUCUGGAAUUGAAAUGCAGUUGGCUUCAGCAAACAGGUUGACACUUUGUGGACAAAACGUACUGCCUGUGGGUUCUGGUCUGACUGUUCUAAAAUUCUUGUUGACAUGAAAGGUCUGUCACUGGCAGUCUGGGCUGAAAUAUGCCAUAAUGCUUUUAAAGCUACACUUUGAAUAAAGUUUACAUUUACUGCAGCGUAUUUGCUUUGCUUGGUUAUAGUAGUAGCUCUGUAUUCCCAUAUAAACACUAAAAUGAAGUUGUUAAGAAAAACAGAAAUGCUUGCAGCAUUUGCACUAAAGUUCAUGGAGCAUGAGAUUAGCUCUAUUUAGGACUUUCGUACUUCGAAGGGAUUAAAAAACCUUCUCAGAAAUGGAUAAAUACGAAGAACAUCCUCAGACUAGCAAAGCAGUAUGUAAGCGUUGAGAAGAAAGACAGUAAUUAUUAUGUAGAGAAUAAUCUGAAUUGAAAUGCCACGUUGGAAGUCACUUUAUAAUCUUACCUUCCUACGUAUGAAUUGAAAAGCUGGCAAAAGUACAAGGCGUGACCUAAAAAUGGUAGUCUUUAAGCUGCUUUGAGUAUAUUUGUCUUAUUUUUAUCUAGCCUGAAAUUUUGUUUUUCUUCUUUAAGUCAAACCUGAUUCAACCAUUCUGCCUGUUGAUGUUCUCAUGCUUCUAACUCUGCCAAGCAAAGCUAUUGCUGCUUCAUUUAAAGAGUGGAGUUUUGAGUCCUACUGGAAACAGAACACUGUCUGGAGGAUGCAGACUUGUUAAGAAACUUAAAUAAGAUAAGGCUAAUCCUACUGUAUGCUUCCACUUUAGGAGUUAGUAUGGAAACUUGCCUUUCCUUAUUAUGGCCCCGUACUACUGGCUAGGUGCCUUAUUGGAUUUCUCCCCAGGUUUUUUUUUUUUCUGUACUGUUGGCUUGGUAGACAGUAAUAUUAAUAGUGUUUCAUGCAGUUGUGGAUUAUUGCCCUGUUGUGCCAAUUUCCAGACUUCCAGGGGAAAAAAAAAAAGGCUCUUUGGUUUUUACAGGUCAGAGAAGGUGAAAAUGUGUCCGCCUAGUCUUUUGGUAAUGGCAAACUUAGUUUCAUUAAUGUGGCAUGUUUCAUUUUGAAAUGUUUUAUGUAAGUAGAAUUAAAGCAAGGAUUAGUAUCCUAAGUACUUGUGGUAUUUUGCUUAGCUCAUUUGUAGCUUCAGAAGAAUUACUGUGCAUUGAGUAGACUUUGUUUGAAUUGUAAGUUUGGAUGGAGACUGAAGCAAACUUUAUAAUCUUGCCUCCUGGAAGAGCUAUUGUCAGGUAUUUCAGAAACAAAUGUAGGAGUUCUCCUUCAGGUGUGGAAAGAUAAUCUACUUCUAAUAUUUACCUUGAUCCAAAGUUUUCCUUUUCCAUUUUGAGAUUAAACUUCAAUCAAUUUAAUCUGUUCUGUAAUCAUUUGCAUUCAGUAAUGUAACUGCUGUAUGAAAAUCUACUGUUGUGAAUCGUGCCAAAAUCUUGGUUUUACCAACUUCCUGUUCAAAGAUCUCCACGGUUAGUUUGUAGGUUGCUUUAAAACACAGUCAUGCAGAUUUAAAUGCAAAUAUGUAUGUUUAAUAAUUGAAUACAGCUUUUUGCCUUGUCCCUUCUAUUUUUAGACUCUUGUCAUGUUAUCUCCAUACCCUCAAUCAUUUUAAGUGCUUUCUCCAAGCCUCGUUUUGUUUAGACAGGAAAACUAUUGUGAUGCUCUACCCGCAGCGUUUUUCAAAAUAAGAUGCAAGAGGAGAAUUUUUGUCUUUAGAAUGAAGUUAUUUGAGUUCUCUAAACCAGCCUUAGCUUUCUUAAAAUGUGCAGCAUAAUAGAAGAUAAGUAGAGAAUUAGGUAUUAGAAACAUGCUUUUCUAGCUGCCCUAAAAUUGAUCAACUCCUGUAAAUAAAUCCUAAGCAGUGAUUGUGUGCAUAGAAGUAAGUGACUAAUAUUUGGUAUCUUUCCUUUUCUUCUAAGGAAUCUGAAACCUUGGUAAGACCAUAUAGUUAUCAGAAGGUUUUGACUCAAUUGGAAAAGGAGCAUUCCUGGGUAGCUGAAGUCUAGAUUAGGAGAAGAAACUUUUUGUUCUUAGAUCAGCAGCUAACUUGCUUCAUGGCCUUGGGCACGUCCUCUUGGCUUCCUUGCAGCAGUUCCCCAUUGUAUCCACUGCUGCCACCACCACCAUAAACUCUUUUGCGAGCUUUGGAGAUGACUGUCAAAACCAUUCAUUAUUCAGAGCAAACUCUGUUUCAUUUGCUAUGCACUUACUUAAAGUGCAGUGGAAAUACACAAUUGAGACUAUAAGGAACUCCAACCAAUGAAAUAAAAUCAGCUUGUGCAACGUGCAUUGCAGUAAUGUGGAUUUAAUUUAGAGUAGUUAAAUUUUAGAGGUAUCAGUCUCUAGAAAGACUGAUGGAAAUAAAACUGGUUAAGAACAAGAGUACUGUGACCAAAAUAGUUAAAAUAAGAAGGGAAGAAAAGUUCCAUCCUAAAAUGAAUACGUGGCAGUCUUAUUGUGCCUGAGUUUUAGCACUUAUGUUUUCUGCCAAGUAAAUUAAAUUCACGAAGAAAAGCUAGACUCCAAGUGUUGGACUGCUAGUAUUUUUUCAGGAGGUUAAUGUGAUGAAGGAGAACAAUGAUAAAAGGAAGCUUAACAUUUAAGAGUGGACCACUGUGAGAGGUCUUUGUGUGUGUGUGCAUAAUGUGAAGCCUGAGUGUCCUGUUAAGUUCACUGUUGUAUGUUUUCUACUGAGUUUUUCACGUGUGCCAGAAUGUACUCAGGGAAGAGCCAUAAACUCUUUCCCUUUUUUCCUUCACGAAUGCAUUUAUUUCCUGUCUAACAUUGGAAGAGAGGAGCAACGAAAGAGAGGUUUUGUUAAAUACGGCAAAAUCUAAUUACAGCCUGAUUUAAAGCCACAUUUACACAAUGGCUGAGGGGUGAGUUCACUUCCAUAAAAACAAACCCGUUGCCUUCCUACUGUGCACUGGGGAGUGUGAGGAUGUGUGUCCUGGAGAGCAGCUGCCUCCCUCUACUGGCACAAGCUUUUCUUGCACUGUGCUGGCGCUGUACUACGUGAUACAAAAAAACAUGAGUACUUCUAUGCAGUAGAGUAUUGAGGCAUCAUUUUAUUGGUGUGCACUCAUCUUACCUGCUACCUGCACUAUAGCCAGUAAUGUAUUACUUGUGUGAUCGAGUCUGGCUGGUGGAUGUCUAUGAGCAGAAAAAAGUCUUGUUCCGCAGAAUGGGCAGUUGUCUGCUUCAGUCUGUGUUUUGAUUGAUUGUAUCUCUGAUGGUUAAAAGGGGAGCUGCUGGUGGAUAAACCUCAUUUUCUUUGACGAUAUUCAUUCAGAGUGCACCUCUAAAAGGUGCAAGCUGUCAUAUUCUGCUCUGCUGAAAUAUCUCCAGGGCGAUAUUGGAGUAGUUGGCUUAAAAAUUCUGAUGUUUUCUAUUUUCAGCUGUUCCCGGUUUAAAUGUCUUGCUGUUCUUUUAACUAUGUUUCUGAGAAGGAGGGGAGAAAAAAAGAAAAAGGUAGUGUAUCUCCAGCUUAACAAAAGUUGGUGGCUUAUAUUACUUUUCUCCUGGAAUAGCCUUUGCCCAAGACCUCCAUCACAGAUGGUAUCGUAAAUGAAGCUUUACAGUCAUCUGAGACUGACAUGUGCGUGCUUUUUAUUCCUUUCAUGUUUCCAGCUGGUGAAUACCAUUUUUAGCAGAGUUUUUGAUGACUGUUGUGAAAGUAAGUGCCUGACAUUGCACUUCAUGCUGCGGCAAUUGCUUCCAUUCUGCUUCUAUAACUCACAAAUUCACCUGAUUCUUCUGGUGUGACAUUUCAGUUCUCCUCCACCUUCUUGAUUUCUUGGAGCUUGGUGCCAUCAGAAAGUCUCACCAGUGCACUCUUGUAACUUAUAGCAAGGCCUCUUAAAAAAUAUGGAAAAGGACUCAAAGCAGUGUAAUUCUCUUGAUGUGAGACUUUUCUUUUUCAAAAUAAUUUCUCAACCUGUCCUGCCUAGCAAUAUUUUUGGUUGUGUUUAUGAAUUACUUCUGCUGCUCUUUCUCCUACUUCUGUAAGCAUCAUCUGUAGCUGAAGUGAUAAUUUCCCAUGUGGCAUCCCAUGAAAUGUUUUAGUAGUAUAGAGGUAAGCAUACUGCAUUGCCAUUACCCACAAAAAUCAGUGCUGAGGGAAGACUGUGAACAAGUCAAGCCCAAUACACUUUUUGCAAGCAGAUGUUACAGUUCAUCUUAGCAGUUUUUGAUGUAUCCUUUUUUAUCUUUGUUCUGAGGUUGAGAUUGCUGAGCCAUGUUUGAAAGCUGCCUUGGAAUAAAGGCAUUUGAGUGAGUGGGAGUCUGGGGCAUGGCGGUCAGUUGAUGCCUCAGGGCAAGGGGAGCAGUUGGUAGAGGAGAAACAGGCAUGGGAGGAGGGGAGUGAGCAGAGAGCAGCGUGAGUAGGUGGUGUCAUGGAAAGGAAGAAGGGGGGCCAGAGCAUGCUCAGGAGAAAGCAUUGCAGAGAGUGAUGGGGAGAGAAAACUAGAGAAGGGCCAGCUUGGACAACAUGUAGAAGUUGAGCAUUUGAGAGGGAGGAUUUACUGAGUUGUGCUGAGGCUUUGCUGCGUGCUUAGUAUUGCAGAAAGGAGUGAAAUAAGGCAAUGGAGGGCUCAUGAGAGAGGAACUGAGGAAUCAGAGCCUGACUGGGCAUACCUCAUAGGUAAAGAAUGAGGCAAAAUUGGCUGACCUUUCUGGAAGUAUGUGGGCCAGCAUACAAAGACACGGAAGGUUACAAGAAGCAGAGAGAAGGGAAGAAUGUUAUGAGAUUAAUCUUUCUUUUACAGCUACAAUGAUCUUGUUCAGCUUUCUGUUUGUUUGUCUGCCUAUUUACUCUUGGAGGAUUUCAGACCCAGGCAUGUUACGGUGAUAUGGGUCAACUCUAAGAUGGCCUGAGACUUACAGUGGAAAGAGUGUAAAGCUCACUGUGAUCAUAGAAUCAUAGAAUGGCAUGGGUUGGAAGGGACCUCAAGGAUCACCAAGCUCCAGACCCCCUGCUGCAGGCAGGACUGCCAACCUCCAUAUCUAAUACUAGACUGGGCUGCCCAGGGCACCAUCCAGCCUGGCCUUGAACACCUCCAGGGACGGAGCAUACUGAGAAAGAUCAGCAAAUAGUAGGAAGACAUAGUAUGGCUAUAGAGCUGUUACAUCAUCAGAGUUCUAAAACUACAAGAAGUGCUGUUAAGUUAUAAUCAGGGAACUCUGUACAGCCUAAGUCUGUUCAUACUGCAUAACAUCAAUCCAUUAUUUCUCACUUCUUUAAGAUAUUUCUGGGCUUUGGUUAGGUUCUUGCUGGGGUUCCUGUAUUCAGUGCUUGUUAUUUUCUCAGAGUUGUGAUGUAAAAGAUCACCAAGUGCAAAAAGAAAAACAACCUUUGUUUUCUAGCAGUGUUUUGCCUGCGCUGUACAUGGCCUUCAAACCUUAAGGUGUCUGGCGGUUCUAGGAGAAUCACUUUGUGCUCUUAGCCUUUUCUACCUGGUUAUGUUAGAGCCCUGACCUAGUUAGGGAAGGAGAUAAAAAGUAGAAAAAAAAGUCAUGUCUCACCCUUCACCAGUCCUCUGAGCUGUGUGGGUUGCCUCUUCUUGAUUGGUUUUCAAUAAAUUGAACUCUUCAUAAAACCUAAAAUAAAAUCAGUAGUUGGACAGACACCCAGCCGCUUCUCAGUGUCAAUAUGGGGAAAUGACUCAGGAUGAACUACAACUGCUUUUUUAUUGUUAUUCCCCCUCCUCAGUUUUAGUGUUGUAAAAUUUAUUGUUCCAGGAGAGGCACUGAUUUUCUACAACAUUUUCCUAAUAAAUGAACAAACAAGAAGUUCCUGCUGUUUCCUUAGUGGAUACAUUUUCAGAGAUGCUGAACUUGUCAGCUACACUAAUUGCAGACAUACACUAUUAGAUUACUAGGUAUAUAAUUUUAUUACUUCCCUGAAAGAGCCAUAAAGAAAAUCAAAUUCUGAACUCUGUGAAAUUUUUAAAAGGAAGACCAACUUAAAAUAGUGAACAAGGAUUCGGUUGCAUAAAGGACACGAUGUAAAAAAAAAGAAUGAAGUUACAAUGGGGCCAGUAGGUCACGUUAAUCAACUGACGGCUAAUCUCAAGCAUUAAAUGUCUGCCGUGGAUUUUACACUUAGCCCUGGUCAGUGUUGACCUGUAGCAGUGUAGGGCGUUGAGCCAUUCAGGGAGCUGUGGUUCCUUGCUCUCUGGCCUGAGAAGAGCCCCUCGCGAUGGAAGAAAGUUCCCUUUAUGUGUCGUGUGAGCCUGAACUUCUGAGGCAGUUGCCCAUUUUGCCAAAAGCAGUGUUGUUCCACCGAACAGCCUUUUUGAGAUAGGCUUUAUCCUUCCUUAGGGGGUGCUGAUGUCAUGGUGGUUAUCACGGUGAGUCAUCCAGAAUUACCUGCUGCAUGAUAAAAUAAAAUAUUUCCACUCAGGCCUGUUGAAAUAGUUUGCUUCAUCUCAGUUUGUUUAUGUGGAAAUUUUUGAGUUGCUUGCAGAGCGCUGAAUGAAAAGAAUCUCUGAUAAAUUAUUUUCCCAAGAUAGUAGUGCAGGGCUCUCUGAUUUAUAUGAAUUCUGAGGUAUACAAAGAACAGAAAAUCAUUCUUUCACUGAAGGCUUUGGUAGUUGACUUUAUUUUACACCAUCAUCCCUGAGUUAAAAGAGCUUGUUAUCGCAGCAGUUAAUAAACUCCUUAAUAACAGGGUUCUUAAUGGAUUUAAUAAGCAUAAAUGCUGGUGCUAAAUAAAUUCACAAUCUACUGCCUAAAUCGGCCUUCCCUGAUUUGUACAUGCCAACAUCUUGAAAAUAAUUUUCUGAUCUAUAAAGUAUUUCCACGGAAGAGGCAUAUAUAUACACAGAUCUGUUUAAUAGUGUUUAAAAAUAAGAAAUGGCUCUUAAUGCUGCUGCAGCCACAAUUUCUAAAUUAGAUUAGGUGCUGUAAGCUUUCAGAGGAGUGAAAGUAUUUUCUCAUGUGUCACACAAACAGUAUGUGAUAAGAAGUGCUCUGUGGUGGACUGUUUAGGCAGACAGCAAGCCUUAGGUAUGUGACCUCAGCCAAAAACUAUUCAGUCACAUCAGUGUGAUUUAAGUUAUCUCUACCCAGAAUUGCUUGGCAUUGAAACUUAAUUAUUCUGAUAGUUAAGCUCCAUAUAUUUGCAUCAAUUCUGGAUGAAAUUUUGUUACCUGUGGUGUAUUCUGGUAGGAUUUUGUCCUCUGUACAGCCUUCUAAUAUUUGAAUUGUCUCUUUCUUCUUUGUGUGCUAUAUUAGUAAGAAUAGAUAGGUCCAAAUAAAUGUAUAUACACCACGCUUACUUUGUGACUCUCUCAGUUACAUCUUGAUAGCACUUCUAUAACAACAUGUUCUUCUGCAAUGCUCAUUCACUCGAGCUUUUGCUGUGAUAGGCAGCCCGUAAUGAAAAUAUUGACUCAUCCAAAUAAAAUUUUUUCUUUAUUUUGUAAGACAGAUUGCAAGAUAGUUUAAAAUUACAAGUAUUAGAUCACAUUUUUCUUGAAUGAUUGCUUAUGAUCCUUGCCAAGUUAGUGCUAUUACUCACCUAUUUAAGUCAUCGGCCAGGUUUUAAAUUUCACUGUUAAGGGAAGCAGAAAAAAGUGUUUAUGGAGUGUCCUGAAUGAUGAUUGCUUCACAUCUCUCUAACUUAAUGUUGUGAUGGUACUCCUUGUGCUAAAGAACUUGUAUAAAGAACAAAAUGAAUUCAUCUUGUAACAUGAAGUAUGGGUAAUCUUGAGAAGCAUUAUGGUCUGUAAGGUGAAGGCUGGAUGUGCAUGUGAGGUAGUCUUCCAUUCAUAGAUAGAUUGUGCACCCUUUAAUUUUCAAAUGCUUUAAUUCCAGUGCAAGUAAUCGAAUGACUCACCAGUUAUCAAAAGCAUCAGGUAACUAUACCUAUAUUUAGCUUUGUUCUAGCUUCUUAUCCUUGUUUCUAUCUUCAUUUUCUCAGUUGGAAGCUACAGUGAGUUUCGUUAAUGUUUAGAAAAACAAAAACCCCAAACAACCUGGGAAGCAUUCCUUAGUGUUCUCAUGAGUAUAGCCUCUGCAGGCUCUUCAAAGGCUCUUUCUAUUUCUGCUGAUAGUCAAGGGAUGUAGAGAAUAGGUUCUCAAGCUUCUUUCGCAGUACCUUCAAACACAAAAUACUUAGCCUCAUCCUUCAUCAGGUAACACUUCUUAAGUUGGACGUGAUAUCUGUGUUAGAGAGAGGUAUCUUCCAUGUACCAAGGCCUCUGUCCUGCUAGCGGUGUCCCUGAUAUGGACCAGCUCCAGCAGUACCUUCAUUCUGCUGGUAGGCCAUUGCUGAGGCGUGAGAUGAUGGUCCCAUGUUUGAAUUGCACUCUGUGAGCCCUAAGAAAUGCACAGAGAUGUGAAGCUCCCCUCCCAGAGAAGAUGGGAACCACUUGAUUUAAUAGCAUGGUUUCAGUCUGUAAAGCAGAGAUCAGAAAUUUCCAGACUACUAUCCUCCUUUGCUGUGGAAGCCUUGUGUGCGACAGACGGCAGUCCUUAACCAUGGGUUGGGGUGCCUGCCUUUUUAACUUACUAGAUGGAAGUGCUGGCUUGCAGAGGCUCAGACGAGAAAUCAAUACUGGUUUUCCAUCUGGCUGCCCUGAAGACUAUGCAAAUUAAAAUUGUUUAUCUGCGUCAGGAAGAGAAAGGAAAAAAAAAAAAAGGAAAAAAAGUAUGUGUACAGUGCCAGAAGUACAGUUAGUAAAUAUGAGCUGGUGCUUGUGCUGCUUCUGGGAAGGAUCUCGUAUGGAUAAUUGCGUUGGUAAAGUAGUUAUGGGUAAGUUCUCCUGAGAGCUGUAGUAGCAACGUGCAAAUAAUGUAUUUUGUUUUUCCUCACAAGUUCUGCAGAUCUGCUUCCAGCAGGCUUUACAAGCUGAUGAGGUGAGUGAAGAGGCACUGCCAGCUAGAAGGCAUGCUUUGUUUUCUGUAGUUCUGUCUCCUGAUAGCUCUUAGGUGUGGAUGUAGUUGCCCUUUUCUCCUAGGCGUAUGCUUUUAUCAUUUUCCUUUUGUUUUGUUGUUCUGGGCUUUCCAGACACAGCAAACUUCUCAAAUGCAUCCAUGGGUCUCUUUCACCACCACCAGCUUCAAAAGAUCUUAGGCAUUUUUUUUUAAACACCAGUUCAUCUUGUGUAUCCCCGCUUAGCAGGGUUUGAUACUUUCUGCUCUUGUAUUGUAUUUAUUUGACAAGAGACACUCUAGUAUAUGAUAUCAUUGGGAAGACUUGAAGGUGUCUCUGAUCUUAUUCCAACUGUUCUCUUCUGCUAGUUUUAGGAGUUGAAGUGUGUAUACAGAGCCAAAAAAAAUCUCAUUACUGCUAAAGGUGAAAGAUAAUCUUAAGGCCUCCCCUUCAUGCAUGCUCAGAUCUGUAAAAGUUAAUUUAAAUCACACAGUCUGAAUGAGAAGGGAGACAUCUGAAUCCAGGUGGUUUUCUACCCUAAAUUGCAAAAUAGAUUUAAAAAUAUAUACAUUCAUAGGUCUAAUGUGGUUGUUUCAUCACAUUGUACUGAUGAGAUACAAAGCAGUAGUAGAAGCUACUGUUUGCUGAAGUACUACACUAAUUUACCUCAAGAGAUGACUAUAUUCUAAGUACCCAAAGAGAAAAUGAGCCGUCUAAAUUCUUCUCAGCAUCAAUAUUUCAGAGCUAUUUCAAUUCCGUGUCUGCUUCAUUAAAAACGAAUUAUAUAAAUGGUGUGGUUGUAAGUACUCAGAAUAACUUGAAUACUUUAAAUGAGACAAAUGGUUAAGAUUUUGCACUAUAACAGGUGCUGGACUGAUCGGUGUGAAAACUCAGUCUUGUGCACAGGGUUAUUUACAUUGCUUCCCUUUGGUCCUUCUAACCAUGAAUAUUUAUGCUAGUGUAUGUGAUAUGGGGGGAUUGCAUGUGGCAAUGCAGCUGAGUGUAGAAAUUAUGGGUUUCUUUUGUGUCAUACAUCAGUUUCUGUUAUAAAGUAUGAAUAUCAUGCGCAGUGAAGUAAAUGUUAAACACUUGUGCAACUUUGAAAUUUCCUAAUGUUUCCCUUCUCUGGCAGCCCUUUUACUGUGGUUAUGUUGCUUAUGUUUUGACUACAGACAGCUGGAAUUUGCUUUGAAAAUAUCAAUGUCUGUUUAAUUUGCUGAUUAGCUUUGAAGCAGUUUCUUUCUUAGACCCUGAUUAAAAGGGAUGUUUGGAGAGCAAGGAGAGACUUUCUUGUUUGUACAGCAGAAGACUGCUGUAGCAAGAGAUGCAUGUUUGAGAAUGACUGAAAGCUCUGGUUCUCACUUCACUUAAUUUUUACUGCUUGCCUUUUGGCCUUACUUUCUGAUGGUUUUGUACCAAAUUUCUACAGGGAUUAUGUGUUUAAAAAAAAAAAAAAAGUUGUUUAUUAAUAACAUGGAAUCAUAAAAUCACCAGAGUUGGGCAAGACCUCCAAGACCAUGCAGUCUAACCAUCUAACCAUCCACCUAUCAGCAAUAUUUCCUAUUAUUGUGGGAUUAUCGACUUUCCUUUCCGUCUCUGGCAUGUUUGGGACCUUUAAAUUCAACACUGAGAUAUUGUGUGCUUGAGGAUGCAGGAAAAAAACCAUCAAGCUAAACCAAUGUAAUCCUUCACAAUGUACAGUAUUGGAAAAGAUGCGACAUACUUGUUUCAUGAAAACUAGGUUCAGACCUGUGAGUAUUAGACUGCAUUAUUCCUAAUCCAGUGUUGACAGAAAUUCAGUGCCCAAUAAAACAGUGUGGAGUCAUCACUGCUAAAUCACAGUGCUGGUGGCACAAGGAUUAUGUACUGGCAUGGUGUUUUUUGUUGUACUGUUUUUAGUUUGUUAAAUGUAAAACUGAAGGUCAUGAUGCCCGUGUUUUAGAAACCUAUCAUGGAAGCACUGGGGUUUUGCAGCUGAAAUAGAGAGAUAAAAGGAAUCAUCUGGCUGAGAUUCCCCAGCUCAGGAUGAGUCUCUGGACGGUCACCUGAAGAAAUCCUGGUUAUUGACAGCAGUAGUAUUACAGCUGGUCACUUUAUUGAUGUAUAUUGCAGGAAAACUGAGCAACAGUUUUUGCCCCCCAGCCUAGGAGGGGAAGGUGUAGAAAAGGCCUGCUGUUCUGGCCAAGAAGAAUUGCAGAAGGAAGGCCAUUAAGUGAUCUGUCCUUGUGACGUGGCAGAGGCCCCCUGAUAUGCAUUUGCCAUCUCCUUAUGAGCACUCCCAGGCUCCCUUGUUAGCUGUAGUAGGGUCAUCGCUUCCCUCUUGUUGUAGGAGAAACACCGUGAAGGAAGGGGAGCAUCUGUUCAAAUUGUCAGGAGAGAACAAGGGGUCUGAUUCUCUAGACUUUAGGAUUGGGAACUAAUCUGCCUGCAUUUAUACUAAUUUUACAUGACCCUGGUUAUACAAAUUCAUUGCUCAUUUUACAUUAGAGCUUUGGCUAAAAGCCACAAGCAGUCCUGGAAGCAGAGUCUGGUAUCUUAUGUGCCCCACAAAUGUCAGCUGCCAGGUCUACAAGCUGCCCAAGGUGUAAGUACACUCUUGUUAGGGAAUAAGUCCUGAAGAGUUAUUCAUACAAGGGCUUUUGGCUUGCUCCAUUAAAUAAUUAAGCCUCUCUUCCUGGAGAAGCAUUUCAUCCAUGCCAGCAAAAUGCUUCUGGUUUCUUGUAAGAAGAUUGUGAGACUGGGUUCUGGUACAGCGAGUCAUAGUUGCUGGCUGUAUGUGCAUACAAUUUCUAGUCACGAAAUGAACAAUAUUUCUAAGAUAAAAAUCUAAAUUUAUUUUACACUUAGAUACAAAGUCUUGAAGUUUAGUAAUCUGCCUUCAAACUUGUUACCUUCGAAAUGAUAACUGAAGUCAUUGCAUACAAAGCAAGUUUUCUUCUGGGAUUAAUUGUGCCGAAUGUCUUCAGCCCUUGUGUACAGUAAUGAGAUCUGAGAGUUGCUCUGAAGCUCAGGAUUAUGGGUGUGGGCUGGAGACUCGAAGUCUCCAAGCUUUGCCAUCUCUGGGCGGUUUUCAAGUGAGUGCCUGCAUGCGUUAGCAUCUGCAAAGAACCACUUCGUGUUCUGACAGUUGCACCUUGACUUGCUUUCUAGUUGUGUCUUGCAGCUUGACAUAAACACUUUCUCGUGUAAAGAGAUGUGAGAGAGUGGAAAACAUUCUUUGAAGAAUAAAACAAAUUUAAUGAAAAGGGCUCUAGAGAGCCUACUGGGUCUUCAUUGUCAUCAGAGAAGAUCAAAGAAAGCCACAGAGCUGUACUUUCUAACCAGAACUGGAAACAACAUUCUUAAUUACAGAAGUGAGCAAGUCUGACAGUUUUUCCUUCAAAGGAAGGAAUGCUACACCUCGUUCUUCAGCUAUUGCACUGUUUGUAGCACAGCAUUUUUGAAAAAUUACACCUGUCCUCUAAUGGAAGGCUUGCAUUUAAAGUUGUCCUGGGCCAAUAUAGAUGUCUUGGUUAGAUAUGAGCGGCAUAAGGUUUUAUCACAGAUUGCAGUAAGGUGGUCAUAGGGAAAAAGUGACUAAAUAGAAAAGGAGAAGAAAGUGCCAGCAGUGGUGAUGAAGAUUAAUGAUGUGGAUGUACUGGAAGUGUACUUACCGUAGUGCAAGCUCUUGGUUUUUUUUUUUUUUUUUUUUUUUUUUUGCUUCUGCUCUUCCACUGAACAAAAUUGAGGAACAGGUCUGUGCUUGUCUGCCAGCUUUUUGACUUUAGUGAUGCUCUUGGGAUCCCUAUUUUCCACUACAUCAAGUGCAAAAAAUGUAUCUCCACUUACGAAGCCCUCUUGUGGCCUGUUCCAAUGUAUGUUUAACUUCCCAUGUCCUUGUGAGCAGUUGACUUUUGCUACCCUUAUACCUCAUGUUAUGGCUUGAGAGUCUUCUGUCAAUCCAGUCUAUUUAUUUUUUAAACCUGUUUGUUACGGUAUGCAAAUCUAUCUCCCUCACUUGACUCUUAAAAGAAGCAACCUCUGCUUUCACUAAUAUAUUUUUACCGGCUUUGACUCACUGAGGUCUUGAUCACUGGGGUCACGAUCAUUGAUUUAUGUAAGUUGUGCAUAUACUGUAGGUCGCCCAGAACCUGGAUCUGCUGUUUAGGGCUAUUUUCUCGCUUACCACAUUACUGUUAAGCAGUGCAGUCCUUUUCUGUGGUUCAUCAUCCUCGUGGCCAUCUAGUUGGCUAUCUAGAAGUCAUGAAGUGGUGUCACGGAGGCACACAUGUUGUUGUUAGUGUGUGCUCACAAAUGAGUUGUAUUACAGACUGAGCUGUUCAUGCAGUAACUGUUGCUGGGGUCAGAGAAAAGGGAGUUAGUGGACCCACGUGUGAGAAAAGGUAGUAGAGGGAGAAGUAAGGGGGGUGGAAAUUCAGGGACAUCAAGAAUAUUUGUGUAGUUUGCUAUCAUUGCUCAAAUAGGAUGUUGAAAGAGAAGAAAAUAUUGCACUGGAGGAAGAAUGAAAGGAACUUGGGUAGAAGUGAAAGUUUGAUAUUGGGAUGGUGAUAUCAGAGUGGUGUAUGUGAUAGAAAAUGUAUUUCAGGGUGAUAUGAAGUCUUUAAAUUAACCCGUCAUUUAAAUUAGAGAUGGCUGUGUUCUUAAGGAUGCAACCAGAAAAACGCUAACAUCUGUGCUAUAUCUGGUUUUGAGAGGAAAGUGUAAGUACUCAGAGUAGUAAAUCUCCAACAGGCUUCAGAUCCUUCUUUACCGUGUUUACUUGAAGGAUCCAUCAUGGAUGGGAUGAAACACACCUUACUGGCAGCUUGUCUGCUCCUCCCCUGGUUCUCAGAGGUGCUAAUGGCAGAUUGAUGUCUUCGUUUUGGUCACUUCUCAGUGAAGAGUCUGCCAACAUGUAUGUCUGCAGAAGCAAGUGAUGCCGAUGGAAUGUGGGGAUUUCUUGUUUGAUUUUUCUUAAAAUAUAGGGAAAGAAAAUAAAAUAUGAAUGCUAUUUAAUAAUAAAAAUAAAAUUUGGGCUUAGAUCAGUCUUAGUGAUGUCCUGCAGAGAUUCUUUGGCUUUAAUAUUGAGACUUCUCUGCCUGUUAAGUACCUGGAGGAGCAGUAUCUGGGACACAUAGGCGUGUAAUUAGCAUAUUUGAAAUGAGUCCUAAAGUUGGAUGUUAACUUACUCAUUUUGAAAUGUGAUCAAUAACAUUCAUUUGUGCAUGGACAUAGAUAGACAACGUGUACAGGUAACUGCUUUCUUAGCAGACUCAAACUAACAUCACUUCAAGAAAUGCCUGUGCUCCAUAAAAUGGAUAUAAGUUUUGUUGUUUUUUUUUUUUUUUUUACUAUGCUGAGUGCCAACCUUGAAGCCUGGCAUUUGUGACUUCUUGAAAAGGUUUGCUUGGCAAACACUGAGGAGUGUGUUUUAUUUCCCUCCAUGAAUGAUGAUGGGCUUGUGCUACAUUUACCACCAAUUUACAGACUUCCAAGACUUUACCAAGCACUUGCUGAGCAGGGAGAGAGCACACCACAUAACUGCUGUGAAGUCAAAGGCAGUUUUCACAAGGAAAUGAAAAUAGCACUAGAUAAAUCUUUGGGGGAAGCAAAAUUGAAAUAUAGAAAAAACUGUGAAAAAUUGUCCCUUCAUAUUUAAUCUGUGUAAAUGUAAAAAGUACCAUACAUAAAUCUCAAGUUUUUUUUUUUUCUUUUCCUGUUAUGUGUACAAAACCAUGGGAUAGUUUAUCUUGCUUUCCUCUAAAAGUCAAAUGAAAGCAUUGAGCCAAGUAAAAUAUUCAUUAGAGUAAUUGGUUCAGUUCAACCUCUGAGGACUACAGCUUGGAAAUAUAUGUGCUACUGCCUUUAGAAAUGCAGCAUGCUGCUUCAACAACCCUUUCAUUCAACUCAUUUUCUUUCCAUAUGUUUUCUGUAUUUUGCAAAACCUAUUUAAGUAAAAGCUGUAGCAGUUUCCAAACAAUAUUUGAUGUUUUUUAAGUCAAACAUGAACUGCUAGCCAGUGCGAGACCUGUUCAGUUGUAAGACGUACCAGAAGUCUACUGGUUUAAAAUAUUUUUGAAUUAAAACCAUAGGAUACGUAAGUACUUAUAAAAGGAAUAUAGGGAAAAGUUAUUUGUUCCUCAAAUAGCCAUCUGUCUGUUAACUCAUUUAGAUACGCUUAAAUGAAGUGUAAAAUUUAUUAAUACGGUAGCUAGGCAAUUUUCAGAGUAGGAUUUGUUUUCAGUUUCACACGAAGUCAUCAUACCCAUAGGUUUUCGGUUUUCCUCCCCUCUGUGAUGGGCAUCUGCCUCGAGCCAUAUGGUUGUGGAAAACGUUGAUUGAAACAGUUCUGUCAAGAUCAUGGCUAGAAGAAAAGCCUACCUUACUUUUCAUUUCUAAAAACGUUGUAGAGCCCUUCUGCUUUCAUGUGAAGGAACAGGAACUCGAAGUUCAGCCCAGAUGGAUCCCCUGUGCCAGGGACAGGCUUAUGCUUUCUAUGAAAGUCUGCCGAGUAUUGGCCAACUCGCCUACCUUUCACAACUUGUUCACUUCCAGCAGAGAUGUGCUUGGGCUGAGAAGCUCCUCUAUCCUCAGGAAACCUUUCCCAGCCUGCGUUGCUGGCGCGUGUAGAUGCGGCCGUACCCUUUCCCAGGUCCUGUGCCUGAUCUACAUGCUUGUGUGUGGUCAUCACGGGCAGAGAGGAGGCUGGCAAAGCUCUGCCUUGUGCCCAGCUGGGAUUUUUAGCAGGUUGCCUUGCAAGCUGCCACCAGCUCCGAACAUCAGACCCAGGGUGCUAUUCUCCACAGCUUCCUUUCCCUGCAGACUAUCUAAAGAUCAGGAGUGUUGUCAGAAUUGGUACAGAAAUGGAGGCUGUUAUAACUGACUCAUUAAGCUAACUACAGUUGUUUCAUGAGUGUUGAUCACGUUACAGGAAAAAAAAAAAAAAAAAGGGUGUCUCUUGAAAUACCAGCAUUCCAGUUGUCAAACAGGAACCAUUGUAAUGGAAGUUGUGGGCAACCAUGUCAUGUUGGUAGACCCCACCUCCAGCCAAACAUGAGAGAACAAUAUGGGUUACCUUAGAGAAGAACAUGGGUUGUGCUUCCCUCUGUAGCCAGCAGCACAUGGGAAGGAGGCAGGAGGAUGGAUGCCUGAUGAAGGGAGCGUAGAGGGCUUGCAGCUGUUGGGCAAAGCCAGGGGACCUCUAGGCUUAGCAGCCUGAAUGGGAGAUUUUCGAAACCGGGAAUCCUGUAGCAGCUGUCACUUACUUCUGUUUUCUUGGUCUCUUUGUCACUUGUCAUUGGUGUCUUGGAGGUUUGUGAAUGUGGAUUAAAAGAAUGACUUAGUCUUCGCAUCUGUCCCUCUGUGCUUACCAAACAUGAGUGUUUCCAACAGCUGGAUCAGAGCACUGGGGUCAACACUAUUGGCUUCAUUCCUUUUACCACCUUUGGCAAAAUGUUGGUAAAAAGUAUUCACAAAUCUGAUCAUCAAAGAACUGAGAAUGUUCCUCACCAGCAUUCGCUCUCUUCGGCUCUCUUUCUGUUAAGUUUUUAACCUGUGUGUAAGCAUCCCCACUCUGAUCUAUGAAAUGCAUAGCUUUCUAGAUUCAAGCCACGCUCCUGAGAAGCUUGGAAUAUUCUACAGAGUUUUGAAGAAGUGGUCUGUAAAAAUUGAUGAGCUCCUUAGAUAACGUAAUCUGAAAAGGAAGACUUAAUAAAAUAACCCCUUUAGUUUAUUGCAGUACGAAACUUAAUGCUGACUGAAAGUUGACUCAAGGGGCGAAAUGUCACUCUUCCUGCAUUUCAUUUUUAUUUCUAUCCAUAUAGAGCUUUGAGAAUGUUUUUCUUAUAGAAAUGAAGUCUGCUUCUAGCACAGAGUGACUUUUUAUGAGCAAUUUCCACUGGCAGAUUAAGUAAGCUAUUUGCAUAUUAUCAAUAAAUGUGGCCUUGCACUGUUUACACAUGGAAGCCUUAUUCCGUUGGUAACGUUUUAUGUGGUAGCAAACAUAAUUUUAGUACUGAAGUAAAUAUGAUAGAUAAAUGUUUAUGAACAACCUUUAAAAUCACAUAUUUAGACCGUGCUUGAUGCUGUAUGGUGCUGGUGAUAAGAGCAAAGAAGUGGAAGAAAUGCUAGCCUGAGCACGUAGAAACUACGUCUAUGGGUAUGUGUAACAUUGUGGAACAUCUUAACAAUGUGUUGUAAAGUUACAUACACCUAAUUCUGUACUGUGAUGACACUGUGGCAAUGUCAAUCCUGAAAAAACUGCUUUAUCCCAUGAGGGACAUCUAGUGAGCUACCUAGCACUUCUGAAAAACAGCCUCUGUAUUUCCAUCUUGCCAGUCGCUUUUGGAAACCAUAUGGCUACUGUGGAAUAAGUGAAUAUGUGAACCGUAUGGCGAUAGGAGGCUUCAGAAUUUUCUGUUCUGUGCUGAUUGGAGGUAAGAUGCACUGAAAUGCACACUGUUCAGGAAUAACAAAUUGCAGUGCUUGUGUUGUUUUUUCAUUAUUAUUUAGCUGAUACUCUGUAGGAGCUGUCAGCACCUUUCUAGCAUACCGUGGUCUUCUAGAUCACAGUGUCACCGUGGUCUUUUAGCUCACAGUGUCCCUUACUUUUGUGCACUCAGACCUUACUUUCAUCUCAUAAAUAUCUCCUUAAGUUCCCCAUACUUCUAAGGAGUGUUUGCUCACGGAAAGUAUUUUCCAAAUGAGCCCAGUUGUUUUGCCUCAUGGCAAAAAUGUCCUUGGCAUUUCCACCACCAGCACCCUGUGAAAGCUUAGGCUGUCAUGUGCCAGCGCUCACGGAUGCUCUCAGGUUGGCUGAGUAUCUGCACAAGUGAAGAUGUGCAGAUAGAGGCGAUCCUGUUGAUGUCUGUGGAGCUGUGCGCUGAGUGCCUCAGACAGAGGUCUGCGUUGUGAGUUAUUGAACUACUGUAAAUAAAUCCACCCGAGGUCUACAGUGACUGCACCGCUCAUGUGUACAUUCAAAACAAGAAUUCUCACUGACAAAGUAAACUGCUGGGUUAUGUUGUCUCACCCCGAUAGAUCCAGCAGCCGACAAGUGGUCAGCUCUGCAAGCGCUCUCCUAAAUACAUCCUUUUUUUCAGAGACCGAGCCUCCCGCUCCUCAUAGGCAGAUCAUUUUCCUGGAGCCAAAGCGGCAAAACAGGGGCAUUUUUCCUUCCCGCACCCAGGCCGCUCCCCGCCCCAGGUGCCGAUCCUUUGGCUGGGAGGUGUGACGUGCCCGCGGCGGCUGGGCGCUCCGGCAGGCAGCUAUAAUUAGCUGAGCAGCCUCUAAGCAGCGGUGACAGGGUGGGAGCCGCAGCGAGCAUGUGCCGGAUCCUGCAUGUGCCCGGCUCUUAUUGGCAGGCUGGGCUGCUGCCUGCCGGUUUGAUAGGUUUCCCCAGUAAUCUGCGUGCUGCAUUACAGACAUAGAUACAGAGGUACUGCGCGCACGCAGCGCUGGAGGUGCUCAGCUCGUAGCGUGAGAGCCCACAGAUGAAAGGCACUGCUCUUUGUUACCAAACAUCAGUACUCGAGGACUGCUAGCCGCCAGCAGAGAGCCUCCACUGAAGCUUUGCAGUCCACCAUUCAGAGCCCAGACAAGCGCUGCACUUUUUCAGGUAUCCUUCUGUUUUAAGUACACUUUCUCAUCCAGGGGUUAAAGAAGGGGGACAUCUCCAGAGAGUCUUUUCCUUGUUCUCUUUUUCUGUCCUCGUGGUUUGUUCUCGUAGUGAAUCUUUUUUCCUUGAUCUUUACUAACUCAUUGGGUUGGGGGAUUCAUUUGUACAGUUUAAGAAAGAUUGAGGUUUGCUUUUGCUGCCCUCAAUCACCCUGCAAUGGGCAUGUCAACGUGACAAAAUGAUUUGAGUAGAUCCUGGUGUUCUUUCCAUCUUUAUUCCCAGCGUACACUUUGGUUACAGUCUUCCAAUUCAGUACACUGUGAUAUUUUCUGACUUCCAGCACGAGUGCACAAUUCUAACCCUAGUGCUUGAGAGCUUUCUGCUAUUAAUCUGGUUACUAUUACCAAUGUGCUCAAAAACAGAGGGAAGCUUAAACAUCCCUGAGUCCAUUCACAGUGCUCUGAGCCUGAUUUCAAAGUUGUAGCAGGAGAUGAACAUUAAAGCUUAGAAUCUUUUACUUGUCUUUAAAGCUUCUAAGCAAAAGGGGGGAAAUCCGUAUCAGGAAAAAUGGAGAGCAUGUCUCACAUUGAGCAGCUUUGUUCUCAGUUAGUACAAAGAAAUCAUUUGAAACUCAGGGAGUCAGGAGUUGUAUGAGUAUGGCAGUUUGUACCAAUGAUCAUAAAAUUCUCUAAAAGUUACUAGAGCACUUGCAGCAUUUAUUUGAGGCAAAGAAAAAAUCAAUGAUCAGUAUCUGAUGCAUCUUUGUCAAAUCAGCAACACGGUUCACUAAUACAUGGUUUUCAUUCCACCCUGUAGAAGGCAUUUUGCAUUCGUCUGUUUCUUAUCACCAGAUUCAGCUCCAGAAUGUAAAUAUGCAUCAUGUGGGGUCUGAAAUUAACAAUUAUCACUGUCAUUUUUAUUUGAAACAAAAAUGUUGAGUCUAAGAGCACACGUGGCAAAUUCAGGGGUAAAAUGUUGAAAUAAUCUCAAAACCAAUUUAUGUCAGUUGAGAAGAUUCAGAAUGUAAAAUUCAAGAUAUGUUGUGGUCUGAAUUUGAAAGACAUCAAAGCUGUGCUGCAAAGGCUCACACUAGGAAUAUUCAAAGCUUUGCAAUUGUUCAGUUUUUGUAGUCAGAAGUUGAUCUACACUAAUACCACAGUCACAUUUCAUGUGUUUGCCUUGCUAGUGACAUUUCGUAUGGGAUUUGUUUCCUUCUUCUUAGGGAAUAAACUUGAUGUUUGGUGUUCGUGCAGAUGCUCCGGGAAGUCUGCAGUUGUCUGGGAGACAUACUUGUAUAUUCUACAAGUAUGAAAGAUGGAGUCCAUGAUUUAUGAUAAUGACAGCAUUCAGCCCUGGAUGUGGUGACACAGCCAGCCCUCCUAAAUGUUGUCUUUUUAGAGGAUGCAUGGAGUCCAGAGCAGAUUAGAAUCAUAGAAUGACUGAGGUGGAAGGGACCUCUGGAGGCCUUCUGGUUGCCCAGAUCAGUGACAAGCUGGCGCUAGCAAGUGGGAGGUGUCCCCUUCAUUGUAGAGGCUUGGCUCCCUGACAGCGAUGGGGGUGGUAGGCUGACCAGAAGAGGUUAUCUUUACAUGCCAAGCAUCUGCACGUGAAAGAACUGACACUAAAUCUCCUCACCUGAGGCUCAUUGCCUUGUUUGCAACAUCUCAUGAUUUUUCUGUCUUAGAGAGCUUGGUUUUGUGAAUUUGAAAUUUCUCUAGAUCCACCUGCUCAAUCUGAUACUCCUUUCUAAAUACGUAACAAAUGAGGGUUAAGCCAUAGUUUUGAGUUCAGAAGACUUGUAUCCAAUUUCUAGGCUGGAAUCAAAUUUAUUUUAUUUACCAGAGAGAGGUGAGCUACUAACAUAGCUGUGUAUCAUAUAUGAGAGGAGGAUGGGUAUGUAGGUAAUAGUAAAGUAAUCUGGGGUUGAUUUGUGCAGAGAAAUAAGCCAAUCUAUCUGAACAGUCCAAGGCACUUCUUAGGAGGGGGUCAGCAGUGAUCCUAGCUUCAGAACUCGCCCAGGGCAAGCCUGUUGCAGGUAUCAGUGCUGCAGCUGCUGAUGACACGUUAAGGGCAGCUGAAAUAAUGCCAAAAGGAAGAACUGGCUUUGGAGAAUCUCCAGCAAACCUCUGCAUUUUGUUGGUUGACUGGCAGGUGUUCCUGAUUGACUGGGUUUUCUCCACUGUUUGUAUUCCUCUUGAAAAUAUGAGAGCCUCAAAGGCUGAUUUCCUUCUUCAGACUUCUCCUGCCAGCCCCCUGGGGCCAGUUCCUCCUUACCAGCCCACCAGGCUCUGUGGGCUAGCUGUCCCAGGCAUGGAGGCUGCAGAACUGGGGAGAGGCAUGUGGGGCAUAAGAGUUGUGAUAGAGGCGAUAAGAAAAAGCACUUGAAGUGUCUUCCUUUUUCCUUUAAUCCCUCACUAUCCUUGUAAUCUUUUUCUGCUUCCUAGCCCACUGUUUGGUGCCACCAUCUCUAUUCCCAUCGCUGCUUCUCUGCUUUUUUCCCGAGUAACUGCAUUUCUCCUCUAACCUUUUGUGUCUUAUGGUUUCCUACUUCUUGUGCCUGUUGUUUGUUGGUUUUUAUUGGAGCUGUGAUUCCUCAGCCCUCCCUCUGCUGCUUCCAUCUCCACUUGAUUAAACGCACCAGUGCAGUCCUUAUGACUCAACACAGCUUUUCUUUUCUUUAAGACAGUGGGAUUUUUAUGGUGUUGCAAAAAAUGUGGCCAGGAAGAAUUUCUGUCGUAGCUUCAUUAGGGUCCUCAGAUACGCAGAAAACCAUUUAGUAAGAAGAGCCUGGGCAAUUCUGACUUUGUAAGCACAGCUUUUUAAAGACACUUCUAGUGAAGUGCCAUUACGUUAAAUGUCACUAAUAGGAAACAGACUCAAUGUAUUCUAACAGCUAACAUUUCAACAACCGUAGUAAAUACAUCCACACAAAUAUGCAGUCACACCAUGAAUGUACAAUAUAGGAUUGGAGUUAUACAACUAUAUUGUAUUGAUUGCAACACAACUGGUAUUUCUGUCCAUGUACUCAGAGAAAUCUUAAAUAUACAGAUGCAGUGGUAUGCAUUCCUCUAACUUUCUUUCUUGACUUCCAGCAGCUUGUAUCUUUAGAACUGAGGCUGGAGGAAAGAGGAAUGAAAUAUUCUAUGGUAUGGGAAAAUGUUCUCUUAUCUAGAGAAAAACAUAGCUGUACCAGUCUAAAAUAAAU
rnacentral:lncRNA from 1 species